UAAUUUCUCUUGAAAGUCGACCCCCCUUCUUCUUUUGCUUCAUCUUCUUUUGCAGGUGCUCGACGAUCGGUUUCUCUUCUAAAUCGGUCUUCUCUUCUUCUUCUUCUUUUGCAGGUGCUCAGCGGUUUUGCGUGAUCUGAAGCCGAUCUGAGAAGGGCUUUGUAUGACAGGCGGGCUGGGUGCCGGGAAUGGACAUACGGGUUGUGUGCAAGUCCUCGGUGAUGGAUGGAACGAAGAUGAAGGGGUUGGUGCCAUUCAAAGAAAUGGGCAACAAGAUCUAUGAACAGACUCGUCGGAUUUGGGGGGCAGAGCUCGUCGUCGUUAGGUCUGGGGGCUAAACACUGAAGCCAUAAUCAGUGGCGCCGGAUUUGUGGCUCGCCAGAACCAAGUCAUGAUGAAAAGGACCUGCGCUGAAGAUAGUUUUGGAAGAUGAUGGAGAGAGUUCAUUGGUUUGAAUUUGUUGAUUGAAAUUGUUGUAUUGAUGUUAAAUUUUGAUUUGAAAUAUUAACUCAAGAACAUGUUUUCAACAUGUAUAAAUGAAUUUCUAGGUAUCAAAAAAUGAAGAACAUGUUGUGUUUUAAUUA